rnacentral:lncRNA from 1 species
GAGUCACGGGCCGCGCACACUGCACGUCUGACUGCACGGGCCCCUCGGGCCUGCACCUCCGCGGCCCGGAAGGGACGGAAGCCCCGCGUCCCCACCCCCACCCCGGGAGGGUCCCUGCGGCAGUUACGGGGGAGCAGCGAUAGCUGCCCUGGAGGUCGCAUUCCCACCCGGCCCCCGAGUUCUCCGGGAGAACUCCCCCGCAGCCUCGGCGGCAUCGCCUCCUCCAAUCUCCCCAGGAAUCGUGUUUCCCCCAACCCUGCCUCCGUGCGCGCCGGGGUGGCGGCGGGAUCCCGGUGCCGCCACCCCUCGGCCCCUCCGCCGCCGUGCGGGACCGCGAUGGGGGAGGGGACAGGCCCGGUUUCGGUGAGGGGGCUGGGGUCGGCCACGCCCUCUUCCCUGGCCCCAGGGUGGGGGCCGCGAGGAUGGCGGGGUCACCGGGCUGAACUCGCGCCUGUCUGACCUGCGGGGGUGUAGGCGGUGUGGACUGUGGACUGGAAGACGUCCUUAAAUUUUUAAAAAUAGUCUUGCCGUAUGGAGAAGAACACUGGAACCUUUAAGUCCGCAUCCCCUCGCCCGAUUCGGCUCGUCUUAGUCCAGAGUGUAACUCCAAACAUACUUAUUAAGAAACUGUUGCUUUAUUUUGACUCGUUUACAUAAAAUUUCCACUUUGGGGGGGAUGGCGGUGGGCUUGUGGAUUCCCUAAAAUAACUUUUAAUGGAGCGAAGCCUUCCAUUAUGGGAAGCGCCUAGACGCGGAGAGGCGUCUGGGGGCCUGGGUUGCCGUCACAGCCCUGCCACCAGCUGGCUGAGCGACCGGGGCACGUCGCUGCCCCCUCUGCCCGUGUUAGGAGAGUGGCCGCGGCGGGGCGACUGCACGAGCUGCCCCUAGGAUUGAAAGACAGAGGCUGUCUCUCCUUAACUUGCUUUGAUCCUGCAGAGAAGCAAAAUGGAGUGAGAUUAAAAAUAAAGAAGAUGCAAGCAGUUUGCUUUUCUGAAUGGUGUGCCUUCCGCCCCGCUCCAGUUGUAUUUAUCAUGCAGACAAGGUCAAGGUAACCUUCACGGUCUGGCCAGUUCCAUUAAGUACAGAGUGCCCUUUCACUAGGAGGAGACCUCCAUUGAGAACUUUACUUCCCACAUCACUCGGGAACCUUCAGGGCUUUGAAGGCUCCUACUCCAAAGGGUCAGGAGGGGAGAGGCCCGGAGGGAAUGCGAAGAGAGACUUUUCACAAAGGGAGAGAAGAAUGAAGGAACAUUUUUAAGGCUCUUGAUUCAAAUCGUCUGCUGCUGUCCAGAAAGAUGACACCAACUUACACAUCCGAUAAGAAUGGAUGAAAUUAAAAUUCUGGGCCGGACGCGGUGGCUCACGCCUGUAAUCCCAGCACUUUGGGAGGCCAAGGCGGGCGGAUCACGAGGUCAGGAGAUCGAGACCAUCCUGGCUAAUGCGGUGAAACCCCGUCUCUACUAAAAAUACAAAAAAUUAGAUGGG